rnacentral:rRNA from 1 species
UGAGUAACACGUAUCCAACCUGCCGUCUACUCUUGGACAGCCUUCUGAAAGGAGGAUUAAUACAAGAUGGCAUCAUGAGUCCGCAUGUUCACAUGAUUAAAGGUAUUCCGGUAGACGAUGGGGAUGCGUUCCAUUAGAUAGUAGGCGGGGUAACGGCCCACCUAGUCUUCGAUGGAUAGGGGUUCUGAGAGGAAGGUCCCCCACAUUGGAACUGAGACACGGCCCAA